GCGGAUUUUUCACCAAGAUUCAAG
rnacentral:miRNA from 1 species